rnacentral:rRNA from 1 species
GACGAACGCUGGCGGCGUGCUUAACACAUGCAAGUCGAACGGAAAGGCCCUGCUUUUGUGGGGUGCUCGAGUGGCGAACGGGUGAGUAACACGUGAGUAACCUGCCCUUGACUUUGGGAUAACUUCAGGAAACUGGGGCUAAUACCGGAUAGGAGCUCCUGCUGCAUGGUGGGGGUUGGAAAGUUUCGGCGGUUGGGGAUGGACUCGCGGCUUAUCAGCUUGUUGGUGGGGUAGUGGCUUACCAAGGCUUUGACGGGUAGCCGGCCUGAGAGGGUGACCGGCCACAGUGGGACUGAGAUACGGCCCAGACUCCGACGGGAGGCAGCAGUGGGGAAUAUGGCACAAUGGGCGGAAGCCUGAUGCAGCAACGCCGCGUGCGGGAUGACGGCCUUCGGGUUGUAAACCGCUUUCGCCUGUGACGAAGCGUGAGUGACGGGAAUGGGUAAAGAAGCACCGGCUAACUACGU